CGGACCAAAGUGGGGGACCUUCGGGCCUCAUGCCAUCAGAUGUGCCCAGAUGGGAUUAGCUAGUAGGUGGGGUAACGGCUCACCUAGGCGACGAUCCCUAGCUGGUCUGAGAGGAUGACCAGCCACACUGGAACUGAGAC
rnacentral:rRNA from 1 species